rnacentral:rRNA from 1 species
ACGAACGCUGGCGGCGUGCCUAAUACAUGCAAGUCGAACGAAGCUUUCUUUCACCGAAUGCUUGCAUUCAUCGAAAGAAGCUUAGUGGCGAACGGGUGAGUAACACGUAGGCAACCUGCCCAAAAGAGGGGGAUAACACUUGGAAACAGGUGCUAAUACCGCAUAACCAUGGACACCGCAUGAUGUUCAUGUAAAAGACGGCUUUUGCUGUCACUUUUGGAUGGGCCUGCGGCGUAUUAACUUGUUGGUGGGGUAACGGCCUACCAAGGUGAUGAUACGUAGCCGAACUGAGAGGUUGAUCGGCCACAUUGGGACUGAGACACGGCCCAAACUCCUACGGGAGGCAGCAGUAGGGAAUCUUCCACAAUGGACGAAAGUCUGAUGGAGCAACGCCGCGUGAACGAAGAAGGCCUUCGGGUCGUAAAAUUCUGUUGUCAGAGAAGAACGUGCGUGAGAGUAACUGUUCACGUAUUGACGGUAUCUGACCAGAAAGCCACGGCUAACUACGUGCCAGCAGCCGCGGUAAUACGUAGGUGGCGAGCGUUGUCCGAAUUUAUUGGGCGUAAAGGGAACGCAGGCGGUCUUUUAAGUCUGAUGUGAAAGCCUUCGGCUUAACCGAAGUAGUGCAUUGGAAACUGGAAGACUUGAGUGCAGAAGAGGAGAGUGGAACUCCAUGUGUAGCGGUGAAAUGCGUAGAUAUAUGGAAGAACACCAGUGGCGAAAGCGGCUCUCUGGUCUGUAACUGACGCUGAGGUUCGAAAGCGUGGGUAGCAAACAGGAUUAGAUACCCUGGUAGUCCACGCCGUAAACGAUGAGUGCUAAGUGUUGGAGGGUUUCCGCCCUUCAGUGCUGCAGCUAACGCAUUAAGCACUCCGCCUGGGGAGUACGGUCGCAAGACUGAAACUCAAAGGAAUUGACGGGGGCCCGCACAAGCGGUGGAGCAUGUGGUUUAAUUCGAAGCAACGCGAAGAACCUUACCAGGUCUUGACAUCUUCUGACAAUUCCAGAGAUGGAACGUUCCCUUCGGGGACAGAAUGACAGGUGGUGCAUGGUUGUCGUCAGCUCGUGUCGUGAGAUGUUGGGUUAAGUCCCGCAACGAGCGCAACCCUUAUCUUUAGUAGCCAGCAGUAAGAUGGGCACUCUAGAGAGACUGCCGGGGAUAACCCGGAGGAAGGUGGGGAUGACGUCAAAUCAUCAUGCCCCUUAUGACCUGGGCUACACACGUGCUACAAUGGACGGUACAACGAGUCGCUAACUCGCGAGGGCAAGCUAAUCUCUUAAAGCCGUUCUCAGUUCGGAUUGCAGGCUGCAACUCGCCUGCAUGAAGUCGGAAUCGCUAGUAAUCGCGAAUCAGCAUGUCGCGGUGAAUACGUUCCCGGGCCUUGUACACACCGCCCGUCACACCAUGAGAGUUUGUAACACCCAAAGUCGGUGGGGUAACCUUUUGGAGCCAGCCGCCUAAGGUGGGACAGAUGAUUGGGGUG